rnacentral:rRNA from 1 species
UACGUAGGGGGCAAGCGUUUGUCCGGAAUUAUUGGGCGUAAAGCGCGUGUAGGCGGCCAGAUAAGUCCGCUGUGAAAUCUCGAGGCUCAACUUCGAGCUGUCGGUGGAAACUGUCUGGCUAGAGUCCGGAAGAGGAGAAUGGAAUUCCUGGUGUAGCGGUGAAAUGCGCAGAUAUCAGGAAGAACACCCGUGGCGAAGGCGGUUCUCUGGGACGGUACUGACGCUGAGACGCGAAAGCGUGGGGAGCGAACAGG